rnacentral:rRNA from 1 species
ACUCCUACGGGAGGCAGCAGUGGGGAAUCUUAGACAAUGGGCGCAAGCCUGAUCUAGCCAUGCCGCGUGAGUGAUGAAGGCCUUAGGGUCGUAAAGCUCUUUCGCCAGGGAUGAUAAUGACAGUACCUGGUAAAGAAACCCCGGCUAACUCCGUGCCAGCAGCCGCGGUAAUACGGAGGGGGUUAGCGUUGUUCGGAAUUACUGGGGCGUAAAGCGUACGUAGGCGGAUCAGAAAGUUGGGGGUGAAAUCCCGGGGGCUCAACCCCGGAACUGCCUCCAAAACUCCUGGUCUUGAGUUCGAGAGAGGUGAGUGGAAUUCCAAGUGUAGAGGUGAAAUUCGUAGAUAUUUGGAGGAACACCAGUGGCGAAGGCGGCUCACUGGCUCGAUACUGACGCUGAGGUACGAAAGUGUGGGGAGCAAACAGGAUUAGAUACCCUGGUAGACUGUCA